rnacentral:rRNA from 1 species
GAUGAACGCUGGCGGCGUGCCUAAUACAUGCAAGUCGAGCGAACAGAUGAGAAGCUUGCUUCUCUGAUGUUAGCGGCGGACGGGUGAGUAACACGUGGGUAACCUACCUAUAAGACUGGGAUAACUCCGGGAAACCGGGGCUAAUACCGGAUAAUAUUUUGAACCGCAUGGUUCAAUAGUGAAAGACGGUUUCGGCUGUCACUUAUAGAUGGACCCGCGCCGUAUUAGCUAGUUGGUAAGGUAACGGCUUACCAAGGCGACGAUACGUAGCCGACCUGAGAGGGUGAUCGGCCACACGGGAACUGAGACACGGUCCAGACUCCUACGGGAGGAAGCAGUAGGGAAUCUUCCGCAAUGGGCGAAAGCCUGACGGAGCAACGCCGCGUGAGUGAUGAAGGUCUUCGGAUCGUAAAACUCUGUUGUUAGGGAAGAACAAAUUUGUUAGUAACUGAACAAGUCUUGACGGUACCUAACCAGAAAGCCACGGCUAACUACGUGCCAGCAGCCGCGGUAA